AGGUAGCGUAAUCAUUUGUCUUUUAAAUAGAGACCUGUAUGAAUGGCAUAACGAGGGUUUAACUGUCUCCCUCCCCUAGUCAAUGAAAUUGAUCUGCCCGUGCAGAAGCGGACAUAAAUACAUAAGACGAGAAGACCCUAUGGAGCUUUAGACAAAAGAUCAAACAUGUAAAGAAACCAAAUCAACCAAAAGGAACACAAAGGCCACAAAACCCAACGUAAAAUGAUCCAAAUGUCUUCGGUUGGGGCGACCAUGGGGGAAAGAAAAACCCCCACGAGGAACUAGGGGCAAUCCAUUAAGCCAAGAGAUACACCUCUAAGCAACAGAAAAUCUGACCAAAAAUGACCCAGGACACUAAUCCUGAUCAACGAACCAAGUUACCCUAGGGAUAACAGCGCAAUCCUUUCCCAGAGUCCAUAUCGACGAAAGGGUUUACGACCUCGAUGUUGGAUCAGGACAUCCUAAUGGUGCAGCCGCUAUUAAGGGUUCGUUUGUUCAACGAUUAACAG
rnacentral:rRNA from 1 species